rnacentral:rRNA from 1 species
GUGGGGAAUAUUGCGCAAUGGGGGAAACCCUGACGCAGCAACGCCGCGUGAUUGAAGAAGGCCUUCGGGUUGUAAAGAUCUUUAAUUGGGGACGAAAUAAAUGACGGUACCCAAAGAAUAAGCUCCGGCUAACUACGUGCCAGCAGCCGCGGUAAUACGUAGGGAGCAAGCGUUAUCCGGAUUUACUGGGUGUAAAGGGCGAGUAGGCGGCCGGACAAGUUGGGAGUGAAAUCCGGGGGCUUAACCGCCGAACUGCUUUCAAAACUGUUGGUCUUGAGUGAUGGAGAGGCAGGCGGAAUUCCCAGUGUAGCGGUGAAAUGCGUAGAUAUUGGGAGGAACACCAGUGGCGAAGGCGGCCUGCUGGACAUUAACUGACGCUGAGGCGCGAAAGCGUGGGGAGCAAACAGGAUUAGAAACCCGAGUAGUCC